ACCCCUUGCUUAAUCCUAGUCGGUUCCAGUGUAUCAGCCAGUUUCAAAGGCCAAUGGCUUGUAUGCCGAGGACCAUAUUCAGGUUCUCAAGUCUGUUACAACAAAAGAAGCUUUCACCGGAGUCAAUAACAGGAGGGUUACUCCUGGCAGGUUGCAUACAAUAGAACAAGCAGCAAAUGGAGAAGGUAGUCGAAACGAUGUCUCUUCCAAAUCACACAGGGAUGACACUAACUUUUCCUUGUUCCAUUUCGGUAUGCCGGUGGCUCUUUCAACAGCAUGCAAAUCUAAUCCCACCCCUCUGAAAGACGAGAUUGCUGGAGAACUUUCAUCUCAAUUUUCAGCAUCUCAGGUUGAAAAUGAUCAUGCUUGCAAUA